GAUAGUGAUAGGACAUGUUAAGCAAGCAAAACAAUUGUUCUAAUUCUAUGYUUGAUUUGUUCAGCACGUUGCCACCCCAUUACAUAGAGUGUUUGCCUUACACACUUACUGAAAUCGAUAAGCCCGCAAUGAGUCUUAGUCUGUUGGGACACAAACUGGACAGUAGUGAACUAGUGAUCCCUCUUAUCAGUAGUAGGUUGGGAAAAUUACUUACACUACGAGCCCUUAUGUAGUUUAUAUGCAUCACUAAUCUGUAGCACACGAGGGAUCUUCUUUACGUCCCACAAGAAAUGAUGGGAUCUUCUUUACGGUACCAUAGGAAGAGAUUUACGAUGCAUUUGCAAGUUCUUCUCCUUGUCUGGUCGUCCUUCUCAGCUAUCUUGGUUCUGGUUAUUUAGAUG
rnacentral:lncRNA from 1 species